rnacentral:rRNA from 1 species
AGUGAACGCUGGCGGUAGGCCUAACACAUGCAAGUCGAACGGCAGCACAGUAAGAGCUUGCUCUUACGGGUGGCGAGUGGCGGACGGGUGAGGAAUACAUCGGAAUCUACUUUUUCGUGGGGGAUAACGUAGGGAAACUUACGCUAAUACCGCAUACGACCUACGGGUGAAAGCAGGGGAUCUUCGGACCUUGCGCGAUUGAAUGAGCCGAUGUCGGAUUAGCUAGUUGGCGGGGUAAAGGCCCACCAAGGCGACGAUCCGUAGCUGGUCUGAGAGGAUGAUCAGCCACACUGGAACUGAGACACGGUCCAGACUCCUACGGGAGGCAGCAGUGGGGACUAUUGGACAAUGGGCGCAAGCCUGAUCCGGCCAUACCGCGUGGGUGCAGAAGGCCUUCGGGUUGUAAAGCCCUUUUGUUGGGAAAGAAAAGCAGCAGGUUAAUACCCCGCUGUUCUGACGGUACCCAAAGAAUAAGCACCGGCUAACUUCGUG